ACCCAAUUCAUGAUGAAGUAUUUUUCGGAUGUAAAGUGUCCUUCGGGACCGAUGUCCGAGAGCGCAAAAAAGUGUGGACACCUCCGUUGCCUUCCUUCUGAUUCUUCUG
rfam:Cryptococcus dejecticola CBS 10117 unplaced genomic scaffold supercont1.1, whole genome shotgun sequence.